rnacentral:lncRNA from 1 species
UUCCUUUUAUAUCCUUAAGAAUAACUUUUCUUCUUUGAUUUUUUAUGAUGAAAAUUAGAUCUAAUCUGAUUUCUCAUGUUGAAAAUCACAUGAAAUCUUGAGAUCUAGAAAAAUCCAAAAAAGAGAUCCAAGAGAAGAAAACUGUUCUUCUCUCUUCUACUCCCUUUUUCUUCUUGAUCUAGAACUCUAGAGAUUCCCAAACGCCCAAUCAGAUUUUUUGAUAUUUCUUCUCUAAAUUUUUAUGUUAAAAAAUCAGAUCUAAUCUAAUUUUUAUUUUUUAAAAAAAUAAAAAAAAUCUGAAAGAAGAAUUCCUUCUUCUUCAAGGCUGUACACAAGAAAGAAGAUCCAUUUUCUUCCUUGAUUUAGAACUCUAGAAAGCCCCAAACCCCAACCAGAUUUUUUUUUGGUAUUUCUCUUCUAAAUCUACAUGUUAAAAAUUAGAUCUAAUCUGAUUUUUAUCUUUAAAAAAAUAUAAAAAAAACUGAAAGAAAAACUCUUUCUUCUUCAAGGCUGCGCACAAGAAAGAAGACCCUUCUUCUUCCUUGUCUUUCUCUCUUUGGGAAGAACUUUUCUUCUACAAUGUUCUGUUGUAUAACCAGCAGAGAAGUCUCCUUUUGAUAUCCAAAAAUCAUCAAGAAAAGAUCUCAAAAAUUUACCAAGAUGAAAAGGAGAGGAGGGGUUGGCGUGUGGAUAUUGGGGCGUCCAACUCUCGCCCCCUCCUUGUUUUGGCGACAAGAAAAGAAGGGGAGAUGCCCUUCUUUCUCACGGAAGAAAUAAGGAGGCGCACAUCUUUUUUGAGGCAUGGGAUCUCACAUUAAAAGGAUUUGAGGUGUGGAGAAUUAAUAGCAAAUGGGUUGGUUCCAAGUUGGUUAAGUCCUAUUCCAAAUAGGAUUCAAGAUCUUGGUCAAAUUCUAACUAAUUCUUAGACCCAAUCCUAACUAACUUAGAAAUUAGUUAUAACCAACUAACUAAUUGGGUCCUAGUCUAAUUAUUAGGCUCCAAUUGAAUUUAUAAUUAUUUAGAUUAAAAUUCCAUUGAUCCAAGGAUUGAUUCUAAAUAGAGAUUAGGUGCUUCAUUUGAUAUUAGGACUUGAUCCAAUCAAGCCUAUUAUUCCAUAGGAUUAGAUUCAAUCCAAGUCUAUAUAAAAUUAAUUGAAUUAUAUUUAAUUUAAAAUAAUUUUAAAUUUAUGCAUCUCUG